rnacentral:other from 1 species
AAAGUCCUGAUGUGUUCGUUGUACACCUAGUUUUGACCAACACUUUUUCUACGGGAGCUUGUGUUUCUGGAUAGAGUAAAAGCCUCUAACUCGACUUUGAGGACUUACAAACAUCUUGAGUAAAGCACCCACCUGCUAAGGGCGGGAUCAAAACAAGGGAAUCGACUACGGCACGAUUGGGAUCACU